rnacentral:siRNA from 1 species
AUAUACUAGAUAAGGCCGCCUA